UCUGGGGUAACCCGGAAUCUGAAGGAAGCCGGGGGCAAAUCUCCGGCCCGAGGAACACGAAUCUCAUAGAAGGCUGUCAUUCUGGGACGAGGCAUGAUAGCAAUAACAUUACUUGCGUGAACGAAUUUUUUAAGAAAUUGGCGGAUUGACUCGUUGAAUCAUAUCUGC
rnacentral:misc_RNA from 1 species